rnacentral:rRNA from 1 species
CGCAUGCCUGGGGGUGGAAAGCUCCGGCGGUGCAGGAUGAGCCCGCGGCCUAUCAGCUUGUUGGUGGGGUGAUGGCCUACCAAGGCGACGACGGGUAGCCGGCCUGAGAGGGCGACCGGCCACACUGGGNCUGAGACACGGCCCAGACUCCUACGGGAGGCAGCAGUGGGGAAUAUUACACAAUGGGCGUAAGCCUGAUGCAGCGACGCCGCGUGAGGGAUGACGGCCUUCGGGUUGUAAACCUCUUUCAGCAGGGAAGAAGCUCCUUGGGGUGACGGUACCUGCAGAAGAAGCGCCGGCUAACUACGUGCCAGCAGNCGCGGUAAUACGUAGGGCGCAAGCGUUGUCCGGAAUUAUUGGGCGUAAAGAGCUCGUAGGCGGCUUGUCGCGUCGGAUGUGAAAGCCCGGGGCUUAACCCCGGGUCUGCAUUCGAUACGGGCAGGCUGAGUUCGGUAGGGGAGAUCGGAAUUCCUGGUGUAGCGGUGGAAUGCGCAGAUAUCAGGAGGAACACCGGUGGCGAAGGCGGAUCUCUGGGCCGAUACUGACGCUGAGGAGCGAAAGCGUGGGGAGCGAACAGGAUUAGAUACCCUGGUAGUCCACGCCGUAAACGGUGGGCACUAGGUGUGGGCGGCAUUCCACGUCGUCCGUGCCGUAGCUAACGCAUUAAGUGCCCCGCCUGGGGAGUACGGCCGCAAGGCUAAAACUCAAAGAAAUUGACGGGGGCCCGCACAAGCGGCGGAGCAUGUGGCUUAAUUCGACGCAACGCGAAGAACCUUACCAAGGCUNGACAUACGCCGGAAAACCGUGGAGACACGGUCCCCCUUGUGGUCGGUGUACAGGUGGUGCAUGGCUGUCGUCAGCUCGUGUCGUGAGAUGUUGGGUUAAGUCCCGCAACGAGCGCAACCCUUGUCCUGUGUUGCCAGCACGCCCUUCGGGGUGGUGGGGACUCACGGGAGACU